rnacentral:rRNA from 1 species
UACGGAGGAUGCAAGCGUUAUCCGGAAUGAUUGGGCGUAAAGCGUCCGCAGGCGGCUAUGUAAGUCUGCUGUUAAAGAGCAAGGCUCAACCUUGUAAAGGCAGUGGAAACUACAUGGCUAGAGUGCGUUCGGGGCAGAGGGAAUUCCUGGUGUAGCGGUGAAAUGCGUAGAGAUCAGGAAGAACACCGGUGGCGAAGGCGCUCUGCUGGGCCGCAACUGACACUGAGGGACGAAAGCUAGGGGAGCGAAUGGG